rnacentral:rRNA from 1 species
GAGUGGGGGAUAACGUAGCGAAAGUUACGCUAAUACCGCAUACGAUCUAAGGAUGAAAGUGGGGGAUCGCAAGACCUCAUGCUCCUGGAGCGGCCGAUAUCUGAUUAGCUAGUUGGUGAGGUAAAGGCUCACCAAGGCGACGAUCAGUAGCUGGUCUGAGAGGACGACCAGCCACACUGGAACUGAGACACGGUCCAGACUCCUACGGGAGGCAGCAGUGGGGAAUUUUGGACAAUGGGCGCAAGCCUGAUCCAGCAAUGCCGCGUGAGUGAAGAAGGCCUUCGGGUUGUAAAGCUCUUUUGUCAGGGAAGAAACGGUAGAGGCUAAUAUCCUUUGCUAAUGACGGUACCUGAAGAAUAAGCACCGGCUAACUACGUGCCAGCAGCCGCGGUAAUACGUAGGGUGCAAGCGUUAAUCGGAAUUACUGGGCGUAAAGCGUGCGCAGGCGGUUUUGUAAGUCUGUCGUGAAAGCCCCGGGCUCAACCUGGGAAUUGCGAUGGAGACUGCAAGGCUUGAAUCUGGCAGAGGGGGGUAGAAUUCCACGUGUAGCAGUGAAAUGCGUAGAGAUGUGGAGGAACACCGAUGGCGAAGGCAGCCCCCUGGGUCAAGAUUGACGCUCAUGCACGAAAGCGUGGGGAGCAAACAGGAUUAGAUACCCUGGUAGUCCACGCCCUAAACGAUGUCUACUAGUUGUCGGGUUUUAAUUAACUUGGUAACGCAGCUAACGCGUGAAGUAGACCGCCU